GACAGAGGGUGCAAACGUUGUUCGGAAUUACUGGGCGUAAAGCGAGUGUAGGCGGUCUACUAAGUCGGGUGUGAAAGCCCUGGGCUCAACCCAGGAAGUGCACUCGAAACUGGUGGGCUAGAGUAUCGGAGAGGUUGGUGGAAUUCUCGGUGUAGAGGUGAAAUGCGCAGAUAUCAGGAGGAACACCAAUGGCGAAGGCAGCUCGCUGGAACGGUACUGACGCUGAGGCGCGAAAGCGUGGGGAGCGAACAGG
rnacentral:rRNA from 1 species